ACUGCCGCGGAGGUGCUGCAUGGCUGUCGUCAGCUCGUGUCGUGAGAUGUUGGGUUAAGUCCCGCAACGAGCGCAACCCUUAUCCCUAGUUGCCAGCGAGUCAAGUCGGGCACUCUAGUGAAACCGCCCCGGAUAACGGGGAGGAAGGUGGGGAUGACGUCAAGUCCUCAUGGCCUUUAUGUCCAGGGCUACACACGUGCUACAAUGGUCGGUACAAACCGUCGCAAACCUGCGAAGGGGAGCUAAUCGGAAAAAGCCGGCCUCAGUUCGGAUUGGAGUCUGCAAUUCGACUCCAUGAAGCUGGAAUCGCUAGUAAUCGCAGAUCAGAACGCUGCGGUGAAUACGUUCCCGGGCCUUGUACACACCGCCCGUCACAUCACGAAAGUGGACUGCACUAGAAGCCGGUGAGCCAACCGCAAGGAGGCAGCCGUCCAAGGUAUGGUCCAUGAUUGGGGUGAAGUCGUAACAA
rnacentral:rRNA from 1 species